CUCGCUUCUCAGCCUUUUGGCUAAGAUCAAGUGUAGUAUCUGUUCUUAUCAGUUUCAUGCCUGUUUUCUCCACAGCACUGGUGUGGAGCUUGUGCGGAUGGGUGCUGCAUGGAGGGGACAGGUGUACCAGGGCUGGUUCUGAGAAAUCACCUCGACGGCUGCUCCGAUGUGACCUGUUUCCCUCCGGGUCUU